UUUAUAUUUAUUUGUAUAUUUAUUGUAAUCCCUUGAUUAUUAUAAUAGAUUAUUAAAAUGAGCUGCAAUGCUGCCAUCUAGUGACUUUUAUAUACAACUGUUUUUUUUUCCCCCAGAACUGUUUUAAAUGCACACAUCACUUGGCUAAAACCCAGGCAUUGCAUUAUCGGGUUUUCUUAUCCAAGGGGAAAAAAACGAUACCAAUUCCUACAGAUAUUACAUAAUUAUGCUAAUAUCGGGCCAAUAAUAUCGGGCAUCCCUAAUUAUAAACGUUUUCUCUGAAUUCGCCAUAGGUCUGAAUGUGGGUAUGAAUGGUUGUUUUUCUUUAUAUAUCAAUGAAAAUCUUUGACAAAAUGAAUCUCCUAAGAUGCCCGUGCGAUGCCCUGUGUGCGAAAGCAGCGGAGCACAGGAUUUUUUGAUUUGGCCUGGUCUUCUAAGUGAAGUGUUGGCACAGGGUCUUUGACAAGUAACCAUGAAUCCUAAUAAAAAAAAACUGGAUAAACAUCCUUAGCACAAAACUUUACUCUCCAACGACAUGUGGGCCUUUUCAAAACGGAUGAAAACAAUCCCCUUGUUUUUUGUUUUAUUACGGGACUCUCUAUGCAAAUGCAGGAACUACUUUGAGGUCAAAAAGCCUGAAAAAGCUUUGAUUCCUGGAGUCUAGUAAGAAUGACUUAAUAAUACUAAAUGAUUACCUAAUGAGUGUGGUUUUGUGUAUUGUGUGGGUAAAAUUUCCUUGGUCUGAUUAAAAAUAUUCCGCUGGAGGAGAAACCUGAUUGUUUUCAACAAAUAGUGCGUUUGUUUAGAUCACAAAGAACAAGUCGAUUCUAGAAUUCUCUGUAUUUAUGCUGCGGUGGUGAAGUUGGACAUAUUUGCAUUUUUAUUUCCGUUGUUCGACGUUGUUUUCAGCUUGGCGGGACUUACAGUGAUUAGAAGUUGAAUGGAUUAUUGAAGCGCUAGCUGUGAGUGUGCGACGUGUGCGUGUGUCUGUAGGAGGAGGUGCUGAUUCACAACCACUGUUCGCUGAGUUGAUCUGAAACUAGUAUUUAUUCACUGCAAAUAAUUUGUCUUCAUUUAUACAAGAGACAGGCAGAACAAUUAAAUACUCCUCCAGUAGGUGGCAGCAGAUGGAGCUAAAAAUGACAUAAAUACUUGAACGAGAUCUUAAUGUAUGCCUUUCUUCAAUUCCUGUGAUUGUUUUGUUCAACUAAACUGGGACAGAUUUUACACUGAGUAAUUGGUAGAAACUAGAACAUCGUUGUAUUUCAUUACAGAAUCCAGAUUUUCUGGGAUAUUCUUUAUCAUAAAGUCUGGAACUAUGUAGUCCUGUCCACUUCUUUAAUAUAAUCUAUGGUGUUUUUUUUGUUUUUUGUUUUUUUUUUUACCUUCAGCUCUGUUGAAUUUCGUCCUGUCAUUUGUCAGAUAUUGACCUCAAAAACGUCUUCAUCCACAAUUACUGACCUAAGCUGUUUCCUUCUUUGCGACAGAGUGGCACUCCAACACUCUGUGGCCCACAUGAUAAGUCAGGACAUUACAGUGCCAGGAUGUUGUGGUCACAUUUAGUUGAGUAACGCUGUUCUCUGCCUGUAGAACGUCUGCUCGUCCAGAGUUCUCUUCCCCCGUCCUCCGGGGCGGUGGUGGUGUAAUGAUGUGUCAGUGUUUUUGGCCAUGCGUGGUGUUGCUCGCUUCCUGUCAUUGUGUUAUUUAGGAGACUCAUGGCAGCUUUGCUACAUCCACCCCAGCUAUCCAUCUUUUAAACGCUGCUGCUCCGCAUCGCUGCGGCUCAAUGUUGCACAAUGUCCAGCUGUGGGACGGUGUAGUGGGAGACAUCUGCUCCUCUCUUCUUGCAAAAUCCCCCCCAUCACAUGGAUUGGUUUAUGUGUAGCCUUUUUUACAUCCCGGCAAUGUUUAAAAAAAAAAAAAAAAAAAAAAAAACCCCUGUAACACACAAACUCUGUCCAAAUGACAACAGAGGAAGUACAAUUACAGGAAACACAUUCACCACUAACCGUGCCCUCAGCGCUCCGUGGCUUGUGCUGCGUGCAAACCAGCACGAGAUGACGGCGGCGAUGUUCUUUGACGACGAGGCCUCGGAAUCUUCCUAGCGUCGUCCUCUGUUCUUUUGAAUCAUCACACAAACUCGCCUCGUCACUGUACGCAAAUAGGAAUCCCCGCGGUCACAGAACGGGGAAGCACCCCUUACUUUGAUCUUCGGUGCUGGGAUUAGAGCAAAGUCACAUGUGAAGCAGCAGAUCUAAUCUAAGAGUUUGGCUGUGAGCUCGCCGACAAACGCUUCUGCAGAUAAGUGAACCGGGUCGGUCCCAGACUUGUAAACCCACCCAGUGUCUUUCGGGGGCCCAUGUUUGCCCCAUUGCAUGCAACAAUCUCCGUCGGGUGCCACCGAGCCGCCGGGGUUCACGACGAGAGCGCCUGAAAUGAUUGUUUACGUGCAGCGUUUCUGAUGAAGCGCCACACGGCAGCAUACGUGUUGGAUCUGGUCUGUGGUUCAGCUCAGGAGGAUCGCACACUGUUUUAUUAACGAGUACACAAAGCAAUCCAUAUCAUGACAUCAUUUAAUCACAAGCAUAUGAUAAACUCUGCGCAGUACAAAGUUACCUAGCAGUGUUUUAUUUACUGAGAAGAAAGACAGGAGAUUUGCACGAGAUGACAAUAAAGCUCUGCCUUUAAUACAGUCCUACGAUCCAAUCACAGCUACGGGGAGGAUGCCUCGCAGUCCUCCACGGUCACAUUUUGACCUCGCAGUAAAAAAACUAAACCAUAUGGACAGAGUUUGGGAAAAUCUCUGGGAUAUUGUCCGGUCUGAUCACCAGUGCAGCGUAAUCUGAGAUAAUCUCAGUUCAAGAACUUUAUUCUCACUUGAAAAAUGUCUGUGAAUCUAACUGUCGAAUGUUAAAAAAAAAAAAAAA